rfam:Rachicladosporium sp. CCFEE 5018 unplaced genomic scaffold Supercontig_21, whole genome shotgun sequence.
CACCGGGUUGAUAACUAGGCAAUGGUCUCUAUAAUGCUCCACGGCCAACGCCCUUUAAGUAUCCGGAAGAUGGAAUACCCACGACAAGGAUCUUACACGUCUUCCGAAAUCUCUUGAAGAAACACGUUUAAUCUUUAGCGACAUCU